UCAUGUGAUCUCUGAGGGAGCACACAGCCCAUCACUGAAUGGUGGCUCAAGGGAAAGGAUGUAUAUAAAGAUAACAUAUACCCAGAUUGCAUUUUAUCCCAGAGAAGCUCAACAGCAAUAGCAGCAAGUAAGCAAUAGAGAUCCUUUAAUCUGACUACCAUGGUGCAAGGCUGUAUUUAUACUGGAUUAUUUAAUCUCGCCACAGACAAACGCUUUCAUUUUAAGAUGUCACGCUGACUCACAGAAAGAAUGAUAAUCUUUAAAGAAAAGAUUCGGUAGAUAUUAUGCAUCAGCAAACAGAAGAAUAUAAAUAAUAUAAAGCAAUCCUUGGGUCUCAUUUUACAAGGUUUAUCAACACAUCCAAGUAUCAUCCUAAAAUAUCUGUGCUGGACUAUUCUUGUAGUAGCUGCUGCCAAGGUUUAACCCAUGAGGUGAAUCACUUAUAAUAGGCCAUGGCAAGCCAAGAACAGAUGCACGCAAUCCUGUAACACUUUAUGUCUUCCUAUGAGCCAGAUUGCAAGGUGCCAGGUAACUCACAAUCUCACAUUGAUUAACCUUUUACCCUUCCCACAAAAGCAGAGGCUGCUGUAGCAAGGGAGGACCAACUUCACAUUAACUACCUUGGUAUUACAAUGACAUGUUGGACAGGCACCUGCCCAGAUACUUUUGGUGACAUAAUACAUUUACAAUCUACAUACACUGGGCAAAAUGGGCAAAAAAUGUCAGAUGAGAUGGCAUUUGGAUGGCCAAACUGCACUUUUGUUUAUUGCUGGCUAGUGGGUAGAGAAAUCAGGUAAUGCUAGCAAUGGGAAAUAGGUUACUGACACUUCCUGUCAGGUGACGACCACAGAUGCUGAUUAUGGACAACAGUGGAAAAGUUCUAUUGCACAACAGAUGCACUGUAACCUGCGGAGACUGCACAAACUAUUGCUUGAGGAUUUGACAAGUUUGCUAGGCAAUUCGGUCACAAAUGACCACUGUUUUGAGUACAGACAUCAUAAGGAUCCCGUUUGGUUGAUUAGGAAACUUGUUCUCAAAAUCCCUGUCGUGUUUAAUCAUCCGUGAACGGAUUGAAGUAUUGGCUAACUCACGGCUCAGUUAUAGUGAAAGCUCAGAAUGCAUAGGAGCUGCCCAGAUUUGUCAUGUUUGUGGGUCAGCUGCUAGACUUACAUGGACACACCAAGCCCUUCCAUUAAUAAAGUGAACCCUGUG